rnacentral:rRNA from 1 species
ACAUGAAGCUGGAAUUGCUAGUAAUCACAGGUCAGCAUACUGUGGUGAAUACGUUCCCGGGCCUUGUACACACCGCCCGUCACACCAUGAGGGUUGAGAAUACCCGAAGCCCAUGUCAAAGUGGUCGAAGGUAGGCUUGAUGAUUGGGGUGAAGUCGUAACAAGGUACC